rnacentral:rRNA from 1 species
UACGUCGGGUGCGAGCGUUAAUCGGAAUUACUGGGCGUAAAGCGUGCGCAGGCGGUUUUGUAAGCCAGAUGUGAAAUCCCCGGGCUCAACCUGGGAAUGGCAUUUGGGACUGCAAGGCUGGAGUGCGGCAGAGGAGACUGGAAUUCCUGGUGUAGCAGUGAAAUGCGUAGAUAUCAGGAGGAACACCCAUGGCGAAGGCAGCUCUCUGGUCGACCUCUGACGCUGAGACGCGAAAGCGUGGGGAGCGAACGGG